rnacentral:rRNA from 1 species
UCGCGAAUCUUCCACAAUGCACGAAAGUGUGAUGGAGCGACGCCGCGUGUCGGAUGAAGGCCUUCGGGUCGUAAACGACUUUUAUCAGGGAAGAAUUUUGACGGUACCUGAAGAAUAAGGGGCUGCUAACUCUGUGCCAGCAGCAGCGGUAAUACAGAGACCCCGAGCAUUAUCCGGAUUUAUUAGGCGUAAAGCGUUCGUAGGCGGUUUCGUAGGUCAUUUGUUAAAUCUUCAGGCUUAACCUGGAGGC